rnacentral:rRNA from 1 species
AAUACAAGGCAGACGGCUCAGUAACACGUAGCCAACCUACCCUAUGGACGGGGAUAACCUCGGGAAACUGAGGAUAAACCCCGAUAGAUCAUUAUGCCUGGAACGGUUUAUGGUCGAAACGAUUCGUCGCCGUAGGAUGGGACUGCGGCCUAUCAGCUUGUUGGUGAGGUAAUGGCCCACCAAGGCUAUUACAGGUACGGGCUCUGAGAGGAGAAGCCCGGAGAUGGGUACUGAGACACGGACCCAGGCCCUAUGGGGCGCAGCAGGCGAGAAAACUUUGCAAUGUGCGCAAGCACGACAAGGUUAAUCCGAGUGUUUCCUGCUAAAGGAAUCUUUUGUUAGUCGUAAAACCACUAAUGAAUAAGGGGUGGGCAAGUUCUGGUGUCAGCCGCCGCGGUAAUACCAGCACCUCAAGUGGUCAGGAGGAUUAUUGGGCCUAAAGCAUCCGUACCUGCUCUGUA